rnacentral:rRNA from 1 species
CCUACGGGAGGCAGCAGUAAGGAAUAUUGGUCAAUGGGCGCAAGCCUGAACCAGCCAUGCCGCGUGCAGGAAGACGGCCCGUAUGGGUUGUAAACUGCUUUUGAACAAGAGAAAACCUCGGUACGUGUACCGAGCUGAUAGUAUUGUUAGAAUAAGCAUCGGCUAACUUCGUGCCAGCAGCCGCGGUAAGACGAAGGAUGCAAGCGUUAUCCGGAUUCAUUGGGUUUAAAGGGUGCGUAGGCGGCCUGAUAAGUCAGUGGUGAAAUCUCUCAGCUUAACUGAGAAACUGCCAUUGAUACUGUCGGGCUUGAGUACAGAUGAUGUGGGCGGAAUAUGACAUGUAGUGGUGAAAUACUUAGAUAUGUCAUAGAACACCGAUUGCGAAGGCAGCUCACAAAACCUGUAACUGACGCUGAGGCACGAAAGUGCGGGGAUCAAACAGGAUUAGAUACCCUGGUAGUCCGCACCGUAAACGAUGAUUACUCGUUGUUGGCAAUAUGACCGUUCGAGCGACGACGACGAAGACGAAGUAAGUAAGUUACGACCGUACGGGUUAGGGUUACGGCCGGCCGGACCGGUUACGGUAAACGUUAAACGUUAAGUUAAGUUAGGUUACGGACGGUUAGGAGGACGUUACGGACCGACGGACGACGACGGACGGGAAGGUUAGGAGG